rnacentral:rRNA from 1 species
GACGAAGGGGGCUAGCGUUGUUCGGAAUUACUGGGCGUAAAGCGCGCGUAGGCGGUCUUUCAAGUCAGGAGUGAAAGCCCCGGGCUCAACCCGGGAAUAGCUCUUGAUACUGUUGGACUUGAGUCCGGGAGAGGAUAGUGGAAUUCCCAGUGUAGAGGUGAAAUGCGUAGAUAUCGGGAGGAACACCUGUGGCGAAAGCGGCUCUCUGGACAACAACUGACGCUGAGGCGCGAAAGCUAGGGGAGCAAACAGG